AAGACUGCGGUCACUGGCUUCCACUGCCAGGGCCAGGGACACUUCGCAUCCAGCUGUCCAAAGCGUAGCAGAGAGGACCAGGAUGCUGCCAGUGGAGGAGCGAGUGGAUGCGGUGCAGCCAAGGAGAAGAGGGUCGAUCUAUGCGUAGUGAGCGCGCCUGCUGGGAUGUUGCAUUAAUCUGGUGAGCUGUUUUCGUUUAAACUAUGACUGUAGCUUCAAAGUUUAGAGGCUAGAUGUUUCAUUACGUGGAUGAGGUUAGUGUGACCGGUACUGUGGAAUUAUUUUCGAGGUUCGAGUCCUGGAACUGUUAAUCUGUCGGGUUGCCAGACCUGUUGACUUUAAAAAAAAAAGGUUAUGACAUUGAGGUUGAUCAAAUCCUGAGGUCCUGUUAAGCUAAGGUUAUUAGGGUUAUGAACAUGCGUCCAUGACCUCAUUAGGUAAAUGUCCGAAAGUUGAUUCCCUAUUUUUUAUUAUGAUCUUUUUUAUGCUAAGUAAUGAUGAAGCAAUCGAUUGAAUUGUGUUUUUCUGUGGUGUGUCUUGCUCAAUUGUUUAAUGCCACUGGAUGGAAGUGUUAGUGAGUGCUGGAUGGAGGCACUGGAAUGACACCGGAUGGAGGUGUGCAUUCGUGAUGAGUACUUGGGUAACCGGAUGGAGGCCGGACAAGUGAGCAAGGACCAUUGGUAAACAGAUCCUGAUCCGUGUUUUUGUUUAGUACAGAGUUAAAGAUAGUGGAUUCACUUUCGAGUAGGUAUUGAUUUGUUUUGUCUGAUACCACUAGAUGGAAGUCGUAGUAGACUGACGCCGGAUAGAGGUUGUCUUGAGUCACUAUCAGACGCCAGAGAGAGGUUGUCUUGGAUUAGAGUAUGACUAAUUUAAGCUGUGUAUACAUUCUUCGAUUAUUUUUACGUUAUUGCUGUUCCAUCAAUGGGUUUAAGCUGUUUUGAAAUUUUCCUUUUUGAAACGUGUAACUAAUUGAACUUUGAUAUCCAAUUUUGAGAUUUAAUGACUUUUUGUCUGAUACUGUUCAAGUUAAAGUUAGUUCAUCAGUGUGAUGAAUGCAGAGUUCAUGAGCCCACUGCUUUCUUCCCUGACUAGGUCAGGACUGGCCGAGUAAAAUUCAGUUACUGCGGUUGUUUUUCUUUCUUUCCAGAUAACUCACACGAGGACGUGUGAGAUGUCAUGAUGGCCGUGUCGCAGCGUUGGCAGACAAACGCCGCAUCGAUGUUGAUUUGAGCGUGUAAACGCGUCGUAAU